rnacentral:rRNA from 1 species
AGGGCACCACCAGGAGUGGAGCCUGCGGCUUAAUUUGACUCAACACGGGAAAUCUCACCAGGCCCGGACACUGGAAGGAUUGACAGAUUGAGAGCUCUUUCUCGAUUCGGUGGGUGGUGGUGCAUGGCCGUUCUUAGUUGGUGGAGUGAUUUGUCUGGUUAAUUCCGAUAACGAACGAGACUCUAGCCUAUUAAAUAGAUCGUUGGCUUACAAACGCCGGCGAGACUUCUUAGAGGGACAGGCGGCGAUUCAGCCGCACGAAACAGAGCAAUAACAGGUCUGUGAUGCCCUUAGAUGUCCGGGGCCGCACGCGCGCUACACUGAAGUGAUCAGCGUGCAUUUUGAAACCUACUCUGUCAAGAGUGGGGAACCCAAUGAACCUUCUUCGUGAUUGGGAUAGGGGAUUGUAAUUAUUCCCCUUGAACGAGGAAUUCCCAGUAAGCGCGAAUCAUAAGUUUGCGCUGAUUACGUCCCUGCCCUUUGUACACACCGCCCGUCGCUACUACCGAUUGAAUGUUU